rnacentral:rRNA from 1 species
UGGGGAAUAUUGGACAAUGGGCGGAAGCCUGAUCCAGCAAUACCGCGUGUGUGAAGAAGGCCUUAGGGUUGUAAAGCACUUUCAAUAGGGAGGAAAAAGGUAAGCUUAAUACGUUUGCCCUUGACAUUACCUAUACAAGAAGCACCGGCUAACUCCGUGCCAGCAGCCGCGGUAAUACGGAGGGUGCAAGCGUUAAUCGGAAUUACUGGGCGUAAAGCGUGCGUAGGCGGCCUGUUAAGUCAGAUGUGAAAGCCCCGGGCUCAACCUGGGAACUGCAUUUGAAACUGGCAAGCUAGAGUUGGGUAGAGGGGAGUGGAAUUUCAGGUGUAGCGGUGAAAUGCGUAGAUAUCUGAAGGAACACCAGUGGCGAAGGCGACUCCCUGGACUCAAACUGACGCUGAGGCACGAAAGCGUGGGUAGCAAACAGGAUUAGAUACCCCCGUAGUCCCUGAGCGGGCUGGCAAGGCGCAU